rnacentral:lncRNA from 1 species
CCGUGUUUUUGAUUUAACCUCGCUAUUUGUGUAAUAGCCCUCCACGGCCUCAAGUUACUUGCACAUUUCGUUACAGUAGGGUGAACUGUUGCUUUGAGCCUUUUUUCCCUCUUCGUGGUGACCGUCGCCUUUAAUUCUAAAUUAUUCCCUUGUCCCUGCUCACUAGUGGCCCAUCACGAGCAAUUUUCUGAUUCAUUCUUCACAGUCAUGCCUGCGUGUUCUUUCACGAUGACAGGAUAGCGCCUGCAGGCUACAGUGGACCGAAUUAGGCAGAUCCAUAGUGUGCACUGAGCUGUGACAUGGUUGAUAGAUGGAUGAGGCCGAAAACCGCAAGCCGCAUCGGACAAAUCUCUUCGGGAAAAUCACGUUUUCCACCGGAAAUGCGUGCAGCAGCGCAGUGCAUGCCCUCCACUUUGAUCUGCUCAGGCAUUGCAGACCGGAUAUCAAGACGGCAGAACAAGAACCAGUGUGUGUUUACCUUUUGCGUCCUUUUCUCAUAUUUCUGUUGGACUCUCCUUCAAUUGCCGAAUUUUGGCUUGGUCACUUUUCGUCAUACCCGGUAAGGAAGGGUCUUCACCCUGGAGGGAAGCGGCAAGUCUCUUGUCAGUUUGAUCGGUUGACCUCGAGAUCUCCGUGGUACGCAGACGACGUCGCUACAAUUUUGUUUUGGUUCCGUCUUUGCUGAUCUUGUCGGGUACUAGAAAGGGCUCCAUCUUCUUCUCUGGGCACAUGCUUCUGCGUCAAGCCGACAAGCUCUUUUAGUGAUUAAUCCGUAUCUACACCGCUGCACCUAGACGGAGACAUGUCAGAAUCCCAGCAGAAUCCGUCCCCGCAGUCUGUAUGACCCUGUGACUUGAGAACAUCAAUGAAUUCCUGGGCGUCGAUUCCCCUUGCCAUAGCCUGUUUCACUUUGCCUGCUGUUGAAGUGACUGAGAUAACGCCUCAUCUGUAAAACCAUAAGUGUGUCUAAACAACCUACCGAAGGCUCCCCGCUGUCACUAUGAGCAUCGCUGUCACCGUGUAGGAUCAAUCAAAUGUCUCUGGCGUAGCCGAACGCCCACUUUCGGAAUAUCCCAU